rnacentral:rRNA from 2 species
AGUCGACGGUGAAGCCAAGCUUGCUUGGUGGAUCAGUGGCGAACGGGUGAGUAACACGUGAGCAACCUGCCCUGGACUCUGGGAUAAGCGCUGGAAACGGCGUCUAAUACUGGAUAUGAGCUCUCAUCGCAUGGUGGGGGUUGGAAAGAUUUUUCGGUCUGGGAUGGGCUCGCGGCCUAUCAGCUUGUUGGUGAGGUAAUGGCUCACCAAGGCGUCGACGGGUAGCCGGCCUGAGAGGGUGACCGGCCACACUGGGACUGAGACACGGCCCAGACUCCUACGGGAGGCAGCAGUGGGGAAUAUUGCACAAUGGGCGGAAGCCUGAUGCAGCAACGCCGCGUGAGGGAUGACGGCCUUCGGGUUGUAAACCUCUUUUAGCAGGGAAGAAGCGAGAGUGACGGUACCUGCAGAAAAAGCGCCGGCUAACUACGUGCCAGCAGCCGCGGUAAUACGUAGGGCGCAAGCGUUAUCCGGAAUUAUUGGGCGUAAAGAGCUCGUAGGCGGUUUGUCGCGUCUGCUGUGAAAUCCCGAGGCUCAACCUCGGGCCUGCAGUGGGUACGGGCAGACUAGAGUGCGGUAGGGGAGAUUGGAAUUCCUGGUGUAGCGGUGGAAUGCGCAGAUAUCAGGAGGAACACCGAUGGCGAAGGCAGAUCUCUGGGCCGUAACUGACGCUGAGGAGCGAAAGGGUGGGGAGCAAACAGGCUUAGAUACCCUGGUAGUCCACCCCGUAAACGUUGGGAACUAGUUGUGGGGACCAUUCCACGGUUUCCGUGACGCAGCUAACGCAUUAAGUUCCCCGCCUGGGGAGUACGGGCCGCAAGGCUAAAACUCAAAGGAAUUGACGGGGACCCGCACAAGCGGCGGAGCAUGCGGAUUAAUUUCGAUGCAACGCGAAGAACCUUA